rnacentral:SRP_RNA from 1 species
GCCGGGCGCGGUGGCGCGUGCCUGUAGUCCCAGCUACUCGGGAGGCUGAGGUGGGAGGAUCGCUUGAGCCCAGGAGUUCUGGGCUGUAGUGCGCUAUGCCGAUCGGGUGUCCGCACUAAGUUCGGCAUCAAUAUGGUGACCUCCCGGGAGCGGGGGACCACCAGGUUGCCUAAGGAGGGGUGAACCGGCCCAGGUCGGAAACGGAGCAGGUCAAAACUCCCGUGCUGAUCAGUAGUGGGAUCGCGCCUGUGAAUAGCCACUGCACUCCAGCCUGAGCAACAUAGCGAGACCCUGUCUCUU